GUGGGUAUAGCUCAGUGGUAGAACACAUGCUUAACAUGCACAGAGUCCUGGGUUCAAGCCCCAGUACCUCCA
rfam:Camelus ferus unplaced genomic scaffold scaffold455, whole genome shotgun sequence.